rnacentral:rRNA from 1 species
UGCAGUCGUACGAGAAACACAUCCUUCGGGGUGUGGAGUAAAGUGGCGCACGGGUGAGUAACACGUGGGUAACCUGCCCUCGGGAUCGGGAUAACUGGCCGAAAGGCCCGCUAAUACCGGAUAAGACCACGGAAACUACGGUUUUCGGGGUAAAAGUCGGCCUCUCAAAGAAGCCGGCGCCUGAAGAUGGGCCCGCGGACCAUUAGCUAGUUGGUAAGGUAACGGCUUACCAAGGCCGAGAUGGUUAGCUGGUCUGAGAGGAUGAUCAGCCACACUGGAACUGAGAUACGGUCCAGACUCCUACGGGAGGCAGCAGUGAGGAAUAUUGCGCAAUGGAGGAAACUCUGACGCAGCAACGCCGCGUGAGUGAAGAAGGCUUUCGGGUUGUAAAGCUCUGUCAGGUGGGAAGAAACCUUUAUAGUUGAAUAGACUAUAAAACUGACGGUACCACCAAAGGAAGCACCGGCUAACUCCGUGCCAGCAGCCGCGGUAAGACGGAGGGUGCAAGCGUUGUUCGGAAUCACUGGGCGUAAAGCGCGUGUAGGCGGCUUGACAAGUCGAAUGUGAAAGCCCGGGGCUCAACCCCGGAAGUGCAUUCGAAACUGUCAGGCUUGAGUACGGGAGAGGGAAGUGGAAUUCCUGGUGUAGAGGUGAAAUUCGUAGAUAUCAGGAGGAACACCGGUGGCGAAGGCGGCUUCCU